UCUCGACUGCUGGAAUGCAUCGAGAUCUAAAGCUCCGGCGCCUAAGGAUGGGUCUGCGGCCUAUCAGGUAGUAGUGGGUGUAGCGUACCUACUAGCCUACGACGGGUACGGGUUGUGAGAGCAAGAGCCCGGAGAUGGAUUCUGAGACACGAAUCCAGGCCCUACGGGGUGCAGCAGGCGCGAAAACUUUACAAUGCUGGAAACAGCGAUAAGGGGACCUCGAGUGCCAGGUUACAAAUCUGGCUGUCGUGAUGCCUAAAAAGCAUUGCAUAGCAAGGGCCGGGCAAGACCGGUGCCAGCCGCCGCGGUAACACCGGCGGCUCGAGUGGUAACCGUUAUUAUUGGGUCUAAAGGGUCUGUAGCCGGCCGGAUAAGUCUCUUGGGAAAUCCAGCAGCUCAACUGUUGGGCUUUCAGGAGAUACUGUCUGGCUCGAGGCCGGGAGAGGUGAGAGGUACUUCAGGGGUAGGGGUGAAAUCUUGUAAUCCUUGAAGGACCACCAGUGGCGAAGGCGUCUCACCAGAACGGACCUGACGGCAAGGGACGAAAGCUAGGGGCACGAACCGGAUUAGAUACCCGGGUAGUCCUAGCCGUAAACGAUACUCGCUAGGUG
rnacentral:rRNA from 1 species